UACAUGCAAGUCGAGGGGUAGCAUGAUUGUAGCAAUACAAUUGAUGACGACCGGCAAACGGGUGCGGAACACGUACACAACCUUCCUACAAGUGGGGAAUAGCCCAGAGAAAUUUGGAUUAAUACCCCGUAACAUAGUGAUGUGGCAUCACAUUGCUAUUAUAGCUUCGGCGCUUGUUGAUGGGUGUGCGGCUGAUUAGAUAGUUGGCGGGGUAACGGCCCACCAAGUCUACGAUCAGUAGCUGAUGUGAGAGCAUGAUCAGCCACACGGGCACUGAGACACGGGCCCGACUCCUACGGGAGGCAGCAGUAAGGAAUAUUGGACAAUGGACGCAAGUCUGAUCCAGCCAUGCCGCGUGAAGGAUUAAGGUCCUCUGGAUUGUAAACUUCUUUUAUAAGGGACGAAAAAAGGUCUUUCUAGAUCGUCUGACGGUACCUUAUGAAUAAGCACCGGCUAACUCCGUGCCAGCAGCCGCGGUAAUACGGAGGGUGCAAGCGUUAUCCGGAUUCACUGGGUUUAAAGGGUGCGUAGGCGGGCAGGUAAGUCAGUGGUGAAAUCCUAGAGCUCAACUCUAGAACUGCCAUUGAUACUAUCUGUCUUGAAUAUUGUGGAGGUAAGCGGAAUAUGUCAUGUAGCGGUGAAAUGCUUAGAUAUGACAUAGAACACCUAUUGCGAAGGCAGCUUACUACGCAUAUAUUGACGCUGAGGCACGAAAGCGUGGGGAUCAAACAGGAUUAGAUACCCUGGUAGUCCACGCCCUAAACGAUGGAUACUCGACAUACGCGAUACACUGUGUGUGUCUGAGCGAAAGCAUUAAGUAUCCCACCUGGGAAGUACGUCCGCAAGGAUGAAACUCAAAGGAAUUGGCGGGGGUCCGCACAAGCGGUGGAGCAUGUGGUUUAAAUUCGAUGAUACGCGAAGGAACCUUUACCUGGGCUAGAAUGCAUUUUGACGCCAAGUGAAGCUGGGUUUUUGUAGCAAUACACAAUUUGUAAAGUGCUGCAUGGCUGUCGUCAGCUCGUGCGUGAGUGUUGGGUUAAGUCCCGCAACGAGCGCAAC
rnacentral:rRNA from 1 species